rnacentral:rRNA from 1 species
AUGCUAUCCAAAAGUGGUUUCACAUGGGAUGGAAGUCGAAAGAUGAUUCAGUGCGAGAAGGCACAAUAUGAAGCUCAUUGUCAGAUUCACAAGGAGGCUAAGGGAUUGUAUGGUGUAUCAUUUCCAUACUUUGAACAAUUGGUUGCUAUCUAUGGCAAAGAUAUUGUAACAGGAGAAAGUGUAGAAGGCUUUGGAGAGGCAGUGGGAAACUUGGAGAAGGAAAUUGCUAUGGAGGAAGAAGAAAAUGAGGAAGAGGGCAUUAUCUCAACAGGAACAGCUCGACGGUCCAUUGACACUUGCUCUAUUGAUACAACUAGUUUGAAGAGGCAGAAAAAGGAGCCAAGGCCAAAGAGGGCAACGGCACCAAGCGAUCCAUUUGCAGCCAUACUUCAAGAUGUUAACAGCCAGCUGAACAACGUGACACAACAUGUGGGUGCAAUGACAACAUCAUUUACAUCAGCAAUGGCGCGACAAGCAGCACAAGAAGACCCUCAACAGAAAUCAAGAGAAAAUGCAAUUAGUGAAUUGUCUAGGCUUGCAUUUACUGGGAGCGAGAUUGUUGAAGCUGCAACUAUAUUCGCUAAAGCUCCAGAGCACAUGAACAUGAUGCUUGUGCUUCCAGGCAUUUUGAGGAGGGACUUCGUCCUGAAAAUGCUGUCUGUUUUUGUUUUCCCCGACUGUUGA